AAAAUAGAAAACAUCCAGGGGCGGUUUGCCGUUUUUUUGAUCAAUUUUAAAAAGAUUGAUUAUCUAAAUUGUAACGGUCUUCGUUCUUCCGAUAAGCCUACCAAAUUCUAUGCUACAUCCAACCGGAUAGUGAUUUUCAGUCAACCCUUUUAAAAUUGAUUAAUUUAAAAAACGGCAAUUACCGCCCCUGGAUAUUUUCUAUUUUGU